AACGGAUUGCCAUACAUUGUAUCAGACUUACCCAUUCGCUAACCCAAGGCUACCCUUAGAUGAUCUAUACCUGAUCCUGUGUUCUAAAGUGAUCUGCUUUCACAGCUACAUUUCUGUGUUCUUUUCCGUUGGUCUAUGGUUCUGAAUUGAGGCAGGUUUUUAUUUGCUUUUCAACAUCCAUUUCAUAGUGGUACAUGUGGCUUUGAUUAAUAUUACCAUAAAGACUGCCGAAAAUGGGUGUGGUACGGAAACUCAGAAAUGGCAUGAGUUCAACAUCAAACAUGGAUUAGAAUUUUAGCGGGGAAUCAAGUCAAAUCUGGAAGUGUUACAGGAUGGAAGAGUGAGCCUACAGUUUAAAAAACACAGAGUACAUUACCAUUAAGUUACUAUUUGUGUGAUUACGCAAAGGAUUGCGCCAUCCAGGCAAUGUGGAUAUUCUGCCAUGUACAUAAUAAACCGAGGAUUCUUCGUCAACAUGCAAUAUGUUACUCCCUGUAAACUACUGUUGGCGGAAAAGCUGAUACAUUGGGCAAACGGUUAUGGCAAGUGCGAUGAAUAAAUCACCAUAGGUCAGUUGUCUUGCCUUCACAAUUGCAACGAAGAUGAAUCAUGGAGUCAAAAACAUUAAAAGGUGCAUGGAACGUCCAAUCGGAAAGCCCAUGGAAGGUCUCUGUGGCCAACACGAAAGGUUCUCCCAAACUUUCGUAUUCAAGUUUUGGCUAUGGUGAUCAUUUGCAACUGCAUAGCCUUUUAGAAGCUCCUGCCAGGAAUCUACAGGAAUAUGGCAGAUGAUGAAUUUAUGUACCAUGUAAGCGAUAUCAAUAAGAACGUCUUAUGCUUAUCUAUGUUUUAUUUUCUUAAUUUAGAUUAAUAGCAAUAGUGAACCUGCGAAGGUUUCUGGUUGGGAUGUGAUAACGAAAAGUUAUAAUAAUUUGAAGUACGGAAUUGAAUUUCCCUCCAUCAGUCGCCUGUGUAUUCCCGCGUAUUACGGUAUUAAUUAUUUAAAAAUUGAAGUGCAUUACUGUUAAGGUAUGAGGUAAAGUAAU